rnacentral:misc_RNA from 1 species
AAAACCUCUAACUUUCCCAAUCAUUUUACACGUAACAAAACCCACCGCAACUACAAAUACCUCUAAUUCCUAAUUUUUCUAUCAAGAAAUCCCAACAAAAAACUGGUCUCCUUCGGAUCAAGGAUUUCCCAACCCUUCUCUCUCUCCUCCCUUUCUUUCUCUUCUUUCACGUCUCCAGGCCACAUCUUCAAAGCAAUCAUUACCCUUUCUGCAACCUUCAUUCAGAGAAUUCUCUGCAACCUAUGCUAUCUGCUUUCCCUUCCACCCUCUGAUUGUCUCUCCCCUAGCAUCACUCACCCUUAAGUUCUGCGCCAACUCUCUCGGCAACUAAUAUAACUGCAUCUCUG